UGCGUAAAAUGUCAUCCAAGAUUAGCCUGUGCAGUCUGCAUAGGUUAGUCAGAGAUGGCUAAAUACAUGUGCGUAAAUUGUCAUCCAAGAUUAGCCUGUGCAGUCUGCCUAGGUUAGUCAGAGAUGGCUAAAUACAUGUGCGUAAAAUGUCAUCCAAGAUUAGCCUGUGCAGUCUGCAUAGGUUAGUCAGAGAUGGCUAAAUACAUGUGCGUAAAAUGUCAUCCCAGAUUUACCUGUGCAGUCUGCCUAGGUUAGUCAGA